rnacentral:rRNA from 1 species
CUUACCCUACGGGGGGCAGCAGUGGGGGAUAUUGCACAAUGGGGGGAACCCUGAUGCAGCGACGCCGCGUGGGUGAAGAAGCGCCUCGGCGCGUAAAGCCCUGUCAGCAGGGAAGAAAAUGACGGUACCUGAAGAAGAAGCCCCGGCUAACUACGUGCCAGCAGCCGCGGUAAUACGUAGGGAGCGAGCGUUGUCCGGAAUUACUGGGUGUAAAGGGAGCGUAGGCGGGAUUGCAAGUUGGAUGUGAAAACUGCGGGCUCAACCCGGAGCGUGCAUUCAAAACUGCGAUUCUUGAGUGAAGUAGA